rnacentral:rRNA from 1 species
GRGGAUUUYCAAYGAYGYUUUGCUKCUGGKWGAAAGUUGGCGCACGGGUGAGUAACGCGUGGAUAACCUGCCCUGGUAUCUGGGAUAACAUCUCGAAAGGGGUGCUAAUACCGGAUAAGCCUACGGAUUCCUCGGAGUCUGCAGGAAAAGGAGGCCUCUAUUUAUAAGCUUCCGUAUCAUGAUGGGUCCGCGUACCAUUAGCUAGUUGGUGGGGUAAUGGCCUACCAAGGCGACGAUGGUUAGCUGGUCUGAGAGGAUGAUCAGCCACACUGGAACUGAGACACGGUCCAGACUCCUACGGGAGGCAGCAGUGGGGAAUUUUGCGCAAUGGGGGAAACCCUGACGCAGCAACGCCGCGUGAGUGAUGAAGGCUUUCGGGUCGUAAAGCUCUGUCAGAGGGGAAGAAAUGAAACGUGCUAAUAUCACGUUUUCUUGACGGUACCCUCAAAGGAAGCACCGGCUAACUCCGUGCCAGCAGCCGCGGUAAUAC